CUCCUAAGCAUGUGUUUACCAAAGGCCUUAUUUUGGUGGAGUUAGUGCCUACAAAAAGACGCCAUUACUAUUUCUCUCACUUGUGGUAUUACAGAAAACACGCACUUUGUGUGCCACAUAGAGAUGGAGGACACAUCUUUAUAACUAUGCAUUAUAGUGGCUGUGACAACAUGGGCAGCGCCAUUGAGGGUACAACCCAUAGGAAUUCCCACCCAGUUUCCUACUUUAAAAUGGUGGAUGAUGGCAAUGUCCAAUAGCAAUGGUCAUGCUAAAAUGGGUUAUAUCCAUGAUGAGUCCUCGAUGUAUCUUUAUGGUGUGACUUGUAACUAGUGGCGACCGCAUGCAGUAAAGUGGACAUUCGUGCCUAUGGAAAACUCGAGAUUGCCACGGCGAGAUAAAGUGGAUUAAUUUGCUAUUUAUUUGCAGCGUCAACAGGUGUCUCCAGGUGCGAUGUCCAAGCGUCAACAGGUGUCUCCAGGUGCGAUGUCCAAGAGUACAUCUUCAAAUAACUUUUGUAUCAUAUUGUUGAUACUGUUAACACAAAUUCCCUGCAUCUUACAAGGCCUUGACAUGCAUUUGGCUAUGCCAUCUUUUGAAGUAUCUUGCAGAAAUGAAAAAGAAGACAUCUGCAAUUCCAUCACAUCCUGUGGAUGGAAUGGUUUCCUGAAACAAGUGCAAAUUAUUUGCUCUAAAGUUGAGAACGGUGAGUUCCAAUGCAUGCAUGACGUAACGGAACCUUCGAAGCAAGAAUCAUAUGAAAAACUCAUGGAUAAUUUUUGCAAAAACAACCUCGAAUGUGGAUUCAGGGCCUCUGCUAUUAAUAACAGUGCUUUAAAAUGCACCAUAAAGAUUAAACAAGUGUCGACACAGCGCACAGUACAAUCAAAUGUGUCAGCAGUGAAAGUGGAUGAACCCAGAAAUGAAACAUCUGGAAACGACGCAAUUUCCAACUGGUCGUGGAUUUUCCCUUGCAUUUGCAUUGCCAUUAUUAUCAUUGGAUUUUUCAUUGGAUUUUACAUUGGAUUUUGUAUUGAUUGUACUUGUCUGGAGCGAAAAGGGUGGUGUCGCCGUGGUAAAAGGUACAUUGCAGUACCUGUAGAAGUGGGCCUAAUCUAAAGUCUUAUGUAACAUCCAGCACGCAGACAAGCCAACUGUAACUGAGUUUAACAGAGUCUAUUUGUUUUGUUUAUUUAUUUUGUAUUUUGGGUGCAUUAUUUUUGUCUGAGCUGGGGUUGAGUGAUUGGGAUGGUUGAGUCAACUUUCACUAACUCUGAUCAGGCCAUUAAUUGUUUUCUUUCCCUGUUUAACUCUGUUGCAGAUAAAACAUUUGCAUACAAAAAAGUAAGAGUAAAAGCCCGACGUUAUCAUUGGUAUAUUCAUGGGGUGGCGGGUAGCCUAGUGGUUAGAGCGUUGGACUAGUAAAUGAAAGGUUGCAAGAUCGAAUCCCCGAGCUGACAAGAUGAAAAUCUGUCGUUCUGCCCAUGAACAAGGCAGUUAACCCACUCUUCCUAGGCUGUCAUUGAAAAUAAGAAUUUGUUCUUAAAACCUCUAUGGGCUAGGUGGGACGCUUGCGUCCCAGCCACUUUAAGCCUGUGGCGCGAUUUUCAAAACCUUAAAAAUCCUAUUACUUCAAUUUCUCAAACAUAUGACUAUUUUACAGCUAUUUAAAGACAAGACUCUCGUUAAUCUAACCACACUGUCCGAUUUCAAAAAGGCUUUACAACGAAAGCAAAACAUUAGAUUAUGUCAGCAGAGUACCAAGCCAGAAAUAAUCAGACACCCAUUUUUCAAGCCAGCAUAUGUCACCAAAACCCAGAAGACAGCUAAAUGCAGCACUCACCUUUGAUGAUCUUCAUCAGAUGACAACCCUAGGACAUUAUGUUAUACAAUACAUGCAUGUUUUGUUCAAUCAAGUUCAUAUUUAUAUCAAAAACCAGCUUUUUACAUUAGCAUGUGACGUUCAGAACUAGCAUACCCCCCGCAAACUUCCGGGAAUUCGCUAACAUUUUACUAAAUUACUCACGAUAAACGUUCACAAAAAGCAUAACAAUUAUUUUAAGAAUUAUAGAUACAGACCUCCUCUAUGCACUCGAUAUGUCCGAUUUUAAAAUAGCUUUUGGUGAAAGCACAUUUUGCAAUAUUCUAAGUACAUAGCCCAGGCAUCACGGGCUCGCUAUUUAGACACCCGGCAAGUUUAGCACUCACCAUAAUCAUAUUUACUAUUAUAAAAGUUUGAUUACCUUUUGUUGUCUUCGUCAGAAUGCACUCCCAGGACUGCUACUUCAAUAACAAAUGUUGGUUUGGUCCAAAAUAAUCCAUCGUUAUAUCCGAAUAGCGGCGUUUUGUUCGUAUGCGUUCCAGACACUAUCCGAAAUGGUAAAGAAGUGUCGCGCGCAUGGCGCAAUUCGUGACAAUAAAAUUCUAAAUAUUCCAUUACCGUACUUCGAAGCAUGUCAACCGCUGUUUAAAAUCAAUUUUUACGCCAUUUUUCUCGUAGAAAAGCGAUAAUAUUCCGACAGGGAAUCUCCUUUUCGGCAAACAGAGGAAAAAAUCGCAAAGGCGGGGGCGGUCGGGUCACGCGCAUAAGCCCAGAGUCCCUUGAUCGGCCACUUGAGAAAGGCGAUAAUGUGUUUCAGCCUGGGGCUGGAAUGACGACAUUCUGUUUUUUCCCGGGCUCUGAGAGCCUAUGGAAGACGUGGGAAGUGUCACGUUAGAGCAGAGAUCCUUAGUAAAAGAUAGAGAUGGAAAAGAAGUUCAAGAAAUGGUCAGACAGGCCACUUCCUGUAAAGGAAUCUCUCAGGUUUUGACCUGCCAUUUGAGUUCUGUUAUACUCACAGACACCAUUCAAACAGUUUUAGAAACUUUAGGGUGUUUUCUAUCCAUAUGUAAUAAGUAUAUGCAUAUUCUAGUUACUGGGUAGGAGUGGUAACCAGAUUAAAUCGGGUAUGUUUUUUAUCCAGCCGUGUCAAUACUGCCCCCUAGCCCUAACAGGUUAUUAACUGACUUGCCUAGUAAAAAAAUGAAUUGUUUGAGAAAUACAGAAAUUGGCAGUCCUUCAGAUAUUUGACGAAUAGAUGUCUUUCCCUGGUUAAAAAAGCAAAAUCAACACAUUUCUUGAAUUGUGUAUCAGAGAGUGGUGGUAAUCCAGCCAAUUUCUGGAAAGUGGUCAAAUAUUUGAAACAAAACUCCACCCCCUCAUUGCCCCAGCAGGUUUUGACAGCCUCUGGUCCAAUUCUAGACCAAAUGGAAAUUAGUGAUGAUUUUAAUAAAAAUUUUGCUUCAGCUAGCUACCUGUUUGAAAGGAUAAUCUCUGAAAGUUCAUAUCAUACAACAGAGAGAGUCAUUUAGUCACCUCAGAAAAGAUUGGAGAAAAUGAUGCACUAACAGACUCAUUUUCAUUUCAACCCUUUGAUGUCGGUGAUGUACUAAGUGUUUGCUAAAGAUUGAUGUAAAAGCAGCCGGCCGCGACCGGGAGACCCAUGGGGCGGCGCACAAUUGGCCUAGCGUCGUCCAGGUUAGGGGAGGGUGUGGCCGGCAGGGAUAUCCUUGUCUCAUCGCGUACUAGUGACUCCUGUGGCGGGCCGGGCGCAGUGCACGCUGACAUGGUCGCUAGGUGUAUGGUGUUUCCUCUGACACAUUGGUGCGGCUGGCUUCCGGGUUGGAUGGGCAUUGUGUCAAGAAGCAGUGCGGCUUGGUUGGGUUGUGUUUCGGAGGACGCACGGCUCUCAACCUUCGCCUCUCCCGAGUCCGUACGGGAGUCGCAGUGAUGAGACAAGACUGUAACUUCUACCAAUUGGAUACCACGAAAUUGGGGAUAAAAAGGGGGUUAAAAAAGAAAGAUUGAUGUAAAAAAAAACCUAGGGGCUGAUUCACAUGAUCCUUUCUUACUGCAGCUCUCUGACCCACUUAUUGCAGAACCACUGACCUGUAUUUUUUACUUGACAAUUGCCCUCCCACUACAUAAAGGACUAGAUCCUUCUGAUUUAGUUUACUACCGUCCAAUUACCAAAUUAUUUUUAACGUCUCACUCUAUUCUUAAUACAUUUUAUUUAAUAAAUAAAAAAAAUAAUAAUGCAUUUAAUGAUGCUACCUAUACGAAGACAAUGGGCCAAUGAUUGAAUGGUAUACAGGAUUAGGGGAAGUAGUAACAGAAAGUAAUUGUGAGGAAAGCCCUAAUAGUAAUUGAUGACUCCUAAUGUGCUAGUAGUAAUGUAGCAUGUGUUAAACCAAUGGUGCAUGAACAUGGGCCCCCAAUCGAAGAGAGUUGGCAGCACUGCCAUCAUCACCCCACAACUAUAGAGUGUGAAUACUGCUGUCAGUAGAAUGUACAUUGGCUAGUCAGGAUUAAUGUAUGUCAGUCAUUAUUGCCCUAUAUGGGAAAAAACACAUGAUUUCAAAUCUGGAAAAUCACAUGAUUUCACAUGUGAAAUUUCCACGUUUCGCAAAUGCUGACCAGUAACUAAACUGUAUGGAUAAUAGAAAGAUCAGUCUACCAUUCUAGUGACAUGGACAAUAGAGACUCCUUUUCUCUCCUAUAAAUUGAGUAGCUAAUUAUGUCUUAAGAACAAAAUAUUAUAUAUAUAUAUUUUUUUUUCAAUGAUUGUGAUUUAAGUUAGUAGGAAGUCAAAAUACUAUAGAGGUAUAAAAAAGGAAAAAAAGAAAAGCAAAUCAUGAGUAAGUGCACAACCUUUCCCUUUCCCUGUAACCACAAUUAGUAUUUAACAGUAGUAAACCAUAAGUCAUAGAUAGAGGAUGGUAAGGCAAAACAGUAACUACACUUUAUGGACAAUAGAAAGGUCAUUCUACCAUUCCCGUGACAUGGACAAUAAAGACUAAUUUUCUCUCCUAUAAAUUGAGUAGCUAAUCAUGUCUUAAAAACAAAAUACAAUAAUAUUUGUUUAUCUUGAAAAAAUAAUUGUGAUUGAAGUUAGGAGGAAAUCAAAAUACUCUAAGGUGUAGUUAGUAGUGUUGCAAACAUUAAAACAGCUAUAUCCAGUUUAAACCUCAGCAGUGAACAGUAAGGUUGAGUCAUGGGGAGUAGAUUGGUGACUUGAUGUUAGAAUGUUCCACCCGAGUCAUGUUUUACAUAUUAUCUGAUGAAUAAACUUGUACAGCAGGUAUGUCCAAAAUUAAAUUAAGAUAACAGCCUUGAUCGAUUAUGUGAAAACUGUGGGGGAAAAAAGCUAUAGUCUAAUAUGUAUAUGGAAUUAUAUUGGUGCAGGCUCCUGAUUUUGCCAUAUACCUACAGUAGCAACACCCUUAAACUGUGACUAUGUUCAUGAUGUAACAUGACCUCAUGUGCCAUGAUGCUCAGGGAGAUUAACAGACACUAAACCAUGUGAAUAAGGCUGGGAUUCAAUCAUUGCAGAUUUUCUGCUACUUCUCUCUGGUUGUUUAUGCUGUAUCACAACCCUGUGGACUCAAAUAAUGACAUUUUAUUGACAUUGUCAUUGGAUAUUGAUAUAGUAUGAAGCCACUCCGGUCCUAACUUUCCUUGGGUGAAUACUAACUGUAGUUGCCAAUAUGAAUUGUUUGCUAUUUUGUGGACUUGUCCAUGAUGCAUUAUCCACAAUGAUUGAAUUCUGCCUAAAUGAGCUUUGUUGAUAUACUUACAGUAUAUCCAUAUUUUUGGCACAAGAGGGCAGUGUCUUGCUUUAGAAAGAGCGAUAGAGAGAGACAGAGACAGGGGUUAAGGUAGAUAUCAGGCAUGUCAACAUAGAUUUUAUGGCAAAAUAUUACACUUUUGAUUGAUAUGAAUAUCAAUGAAGAAUAAAGUCACACACUCCAUCGUACUCUAUUGUAGGCCUACUCAAUGUUUGUUUGAAAAUAGUGCCUUAUCAAUUGUUUUUCUUUUGCAUGAUCAAUAUCCCACCCUUCAUCUCCCUAAGGCCUACUUUUAUUGGCUUUUAAAUAUAUAUAUUUUAUUGUAUUGUGUUUACUUAUUUUGAUGGAAUGUGCAUCUUGUCAAAUGUGUCUUCAGUUCCGAUACGUCUAAUAAAUAUUCCAGUAUCUAAGUAUCAUUAAAUUGCAUGAACACUACAUUUGCACUCAUCUUUAUAAUUGAAUUAUAUGAAUUUGACUUCACUGAAAGUUGAAUGGUUCUGUGUAAUACAGUGUGAAAGGGGAACUGAGAGGGAACACCCUGUAUGAAGGACCUGAUUUGAUGUACAUAGAGUGGGUUCCCCCUCUAACAUUGGGGAAGACCCCCCUCCCACACUCUACACCAUACGCUGUUCUCUAUCCCUACACAGCAUGGUACAGGUUGAAUCACACACCCUUUCAUAUGGUAUAUCUUAAGAUACUACUGUAUAGUGCAUAGCAGUGAGCUACUGGCUCAGUAGCUAAGUGCUCGAUUCAAUCCAUAGAGCUGAAGACCUUUGCUACAUCGCAAUAUACAUUUAAAAGCAAUGUUCCCGCGUUUGUGGAGACUAAACACUGCAUAUGUUAGCUCAAUUGGACAUAAAAAAAAAAAACGUUUAAAAAUGUAACCAGGCAAGUCAGUUAAGAACAAAUUCUUAUUUACAAUGACUGCCUACCCCGGCCAAACCCGGGCGACGCUGGGCCAAUUGCGCACCGCCCUAUGGGACUCCCAAUCACGGCCAAAAGUGGUGCAGCCUGGAUUCAAACCAGGUAGUGCAGUGACACCUCUUGCACUGAGAUGCAGUGUCUUAGACCACUGCGCCACUCGGGAGCCCCAUUACCUGAUCUCCAGUACUACGGAUUGAAUCGAGCCCAAGAACCUUGAACUAAACAGAAACACUAACUUAGAAAUUACCCAGAACUACUCAGGACUAGCCAAAACUUUUAUAUUCCCUUUGUUUUUUACUUUUAUACCAUGAAUUAUGUGCACUGUAUCUACUGUAUGUAUAGGUUAUGCAAGUAUAAAGAUGUAUAUUCAUGUGUACCUUUGACGCUGUAAUAAUCUGAACUAAAUCAAUUUCCUAACAGCUUCGGUUGGUACGGCAAUAAAGUCUUGAAUCUUGAAUGUUCCCUUCCUUCCUUGGAAAGUUAAUCAUGGCAGAGAUGUUGCAAUACAUGAUAAGCAUCUGUAG
rnacentral:lncRNA from 1 species